ACGAUAAGGAGGAUGGCUAGUC
rnacentral:siRNA from 1 species